AAAUGAAUAGACGGGCACCCGCACAAGCGGUGGAGCAUGCUGUUUAAUUCGACAGUACGCGAAGAACCUUACCUAGAUUUGACAUCCCCUGCAAAACUAUAGAAAUAUAGCAGAGGUUAUCAGGGUGACAGGUGGUGCAUGGUUGUCGUCAGCUCGUGUCGUGAGAUGUUUGGUUAAGUCCAAUAACGAGCGCAACCCUCGUCUUUAGUUGCUAACAUUAAGUUGAGAACUCUAAAGAUACUGCCGGCGUAAGCCGGAGGAAGGUGAGGAUGACGUCAAAUCAUCAUGCCCCUUACAUCUAGGGCAACAGGCGUGCUACAAUGGUCGGUACAAUGGGUCGCAACAUGGUGACAUGAAGCAAAUCCCUUAAAGCCGAUCGUAGUCCGGAUUGGAGUCUGCAACUCGACUCCAUGAAGCUGGAAUCGCUAGUAAUCCCGAAUCAGAAUGUCGGGGUGAAUACGUUCUCGGGUGUUGUACACACCGCCCGU
rnacentral:rRNA from 1 species